UCAGGUAGGUUGGCCAAAGUACUAAUUGA
rnacentral:sRNA from 1 species